GUUUCAUUGCUAAAGGAGGACUAUAAAUAACAUCUUUGCACAAUCGGAGAAAGCUAAGCCAGAAUUUCUACCGAUAACUCAAGGUUAAUAAUGAAGAAGGAACAUGCUCCAUAUCCUGGUGCAGUGCGUCCAAGAUUUAAACCCAAAACACGUUCAAACAACAAAAUUGAUAAGCUUGAGGGGCCUAUACACCGCCGUCAACUUUGGAGAAACAUCAAGGCCCGGUUCAAAGAGAAAUAAGCCAUAAGGAACUAAACCCUACCGAAAAGAGAAAUGAUUGAUUGAGUGAUGAAUAGUUUUUGUAACCGUCUUUAUAUGGUUGCAAAGGCACCCACCAUACAAAAAUAUUCAUUAUAUACAUAAAAGGAUGAGUCAGGGGCUGAUUAUACAUUUAUACUCUUUUCAAAUAGAGACACCCUGAAAGGAACUUGUCUUAUU